GGGCCGGUAGCUCAGUUGGCAGAGCAUCGGACUUUUAAUCCGGUGGUCGCGGGUUCGACUCCCGCCCGGCUCACCA
rnacentral:tRNA from 1 species